AAGCAAAACAACCCAUAGUGGGGAGUCUCUUUUUUUCCAUGGAGAUCACCCUGUGGCUUGAGAAUGAUAUAACUACCAAAAGAUCACCCAGACUUGUCUGCAGCCAAGUGUACUGAUCUUCUGCUCUGGACCAGAAAGAGUCAUUACUAAGGUGCAGCAGUGUCUCAGAUGUUCACAAACAGAUGACGGAGGCCAGCCCCUGUCCUCAAGGCCAUGCAUGGAACUAUCCGAUUUCAUGACCGCAAAGUGCAUUUUUCAGAUGCAGGUUUCUAGAGGGACCUUUGCCCCAAAUCGCAUUCCAACCUCCAACUCCACCUGGACAAGCUGCUCAGACCUGAAACAGUGGAUAAGAAUCCACCUACCACUGCAGGGAACAUGGGCCCCAUCCCUGGUCCAGGAAGAUCCCACAUGCCAUGGAGCAGCAAAGCCUGUGUGCCACAACUCCUGAGCACGAGAGCCACGACUCCUGAGUCCGUGUGUGCCGUGAGCCCACAUGCCAAACGAGAGACGCCACUGUCGUGAGAAGGCUGUGCCCCGCAAUGAAGAGCAGGCCCUGCUCGCUGCCGUUAGAGAAAGCCCAUGCACAGCAAUGAAGACUCAAUUCAGGCCAAAGUAAAUGAAAUAAAGGCGAUCACAUUCCCUUAGCCUCUCUCACUUAGAACUCAGUUAGUGAAUAAUAUCUUUGCAGUCCUACCCACCUCUCAUCUAGCCAUCGCACAUUUCAUUUCCUCACCAUACUCAUUCCAGUCAUCCUUCAGAAUCUUAAAACUGUUCCAGGAGAACAAAGACCAUUCCUCCGUUAUUAUUUUGUCUGUAUCCCCUUGGUGUCUGACAUGAAGUGCUUAGUAAGUGCUGGUGAAAGGAGGAAAAGAGGGAAGAGAAGGCAAGGGGGAAGAGAAAGAAUGCGAUCCUCGUUUGUCA
ensembl:lncRNA